AUGGUAGGAUAGAGGCCUACCAUGGUUUUAACGGGUAACGGGGAAUUAGGGUUCGAUUCCGGAGAGGGAGCCUGAGAAACGGCUACCACAUCCAAGGAAGGCAGCAGGCGCGCAAAUUACCCAACCCCGACACGGGGAGGUAGUGACAAUAAAUAACAAUAUGGGGCUCUUACGAGUCUUGUAAUUGGAAUGAGUACAAUUUAAAUCUCUUAACGAGGAACAAUUGGAGGGCAAGUCUGGUGCCAGCAGCCGCGGUAAUUCCAGCUCCAAUAGCGUAUAUUAAAGUUGUUGCAGUUAAAAAGCUCGUAGUUGAAUUUCGGGAUUUAUCCGUCGGUCGGGCUUUUGGGUCUGUACUGGCGUGAUGGAUUCCUACCUUCUGAAUAACCGGCAUGUCAUUAAUUUGGUGCGCCGGGGAAGCAGGACUGUUACCUUGAAAAAAUUAGAGUGCUUAAAGCAGGCUUAUGCCUGAAUACAUUAGCAUGGAAUAAUGAAAUAGGACGGCAUGGUUCUAUUUUGUUGGUUUCUAGGAUCACCGUAAUGAUUAAUAGGGAUAGUUGGGGGCAUUAGUAUUCAAUUGUCAGAGGUGAAAUUCUUGGAUUUAUUGAAGACUAACUUCUGCGAAAGCAUUUGCCAAGGAUGUUUUCAUUAAUCAAGAACGAAAGUUAGGGGAUCGAAGACGAUCAGAUACCGUCGUAGUCUUAACCAUAAACUGUGCCGACUAGGGAUCGGACGAUGUUAAUUUUUUAAUGACUCGUUCGGCGCCUUACGGGAAACCAAAGUGUUUGGG
rnacentral:rRNA from 1 species